GAUCAUGGCUCAGGAUGAACGCUGGCGGUGUGCCUAAUACAUGCAAGUCGAGCGAGUGAGCCCUUCGGGGCGAGCUAGCGGCGAACGGGUGAGUAACACGUAGGUAACCUGCCUAUUAGCCUGGAAUACCCGAGAGAAAUCUCGGCUAAUGCUGGAUACGUGUUUGGGAGGCAUCUUCCAAACAUAAAAGGGGCAAUUGCUCCACUGAUAGAUGGACCUGCGGCGCAUUAG
rnacentral:rRNA from 1 species